AACCACAUACCCACCAUACGACUGGAAUCACACAUACACUGCCACAAGAGGUCUGCAGUGAAGGUCCCAAAGUCCCAGACAAUAAGACUGAAAGCAACACCAGCCAGUCUUGGGAAAUAUAAAGUCACAAAUACAUUUUGAUAAUUUUUCAUUUUGUAAAGGAUCUUUCUGCUGAUGCAGCUGUUAAGAGUGUUUCAUAAACUGUGACAACACUGAGCAAAAUCAUAGAAGGAAACUCUAUGGACAAUUUCAGAUGGAGAAGAAGAAAGGACUGGAAGUUCAAUUUGGCCAUGACAAUUAGAGGCCAGGUGCAGUGCAUGUAAUCCCAGCACUUUGGGAGACUGAGAUGGGAAGAUCGCUUGAGGCCAGGAGUGCAAGACCAGCCUGGGCAACACAGCAAGACCUUGACUCUACUAAAAAAAAAAAAGGAUCCUUCAACUUCAACAAUAAUAACACGAGGGAAGUGAAGAAAAACACUUUCUAAGGAAAUCUCUCUCUGAGCUACCAUCCUGCUAGGGAGAGCCUGAAAGCAGAAUGCUGACUUGACUAGCUCUGGUCAAUGAAAGAAAUCACUAGUGGAAAGGCUACCAGGGGGCUUUCUCAAAAGAGAGGGACAGUAAACUGCAAGAUGAACAACUCAAUGCCAUCCAGGUCUGGAUGAGAAAGAACAGUCG
rnacentral:antisense_RNA from 1 species